AGAAACCACUAGGGGUGUCUUUUAAAGACUGAGAUUAAAGUAUUACUUUAAGACCCUUAGAACCUGAUCUGGUUUAUACCAGCGUAGGGAAGUGGCAAGAAGUGAUA
rfam:Gracilibacillus kekensis strain CGMCC 1.10681 genome assembly, contig: Ga0079828_104